AACCUUUAGCAAAACAAGCAUUAAAGGCAACGCCUGCCCAGUGAACAAUUCAACGGCCGCGGUACCCUAACCGUGCAAAGGUAGCGUAAUCACUUGUCUAUUAAUUGUAGACCCGUAUGAAAGGCAAAAUGAGGGCCUAACUGUCUCUUAUAAUAAAUCAAUUAAACUGAUCUCCCAGUAAAAAAGCUGGAAUACACACAUAAGACCAGAAGACCCUGUGAAGCUUAAACUAAAUUAUUAAACCCUAUAAUAACUACUUUCGGUUGGGGCGACCUUGGAAACAAAAAGAACUUCCAAACACAUGACCUAACAUCACACCAACAAGGCCAACAAGCCAAAAUAAGAUCCAGCUAGACUGAAAAAUGAACCAAGUUACUCCAGGGAUAACAGCGCUAUCUUCUUCAAGAGCCCAUAUCAAAAAGAAGGUUUACGACCUCGAUGUUGGAUCAGGACAUCCUAUUGGUGCAGCAGCUAUUAAGGGUUCGUUUGUUCAACGAUUAAUAGUCCU
rnacentral:rRNA from 1 species